GGCUGUGGCUUAGUGGUAGAACACCUGCCUAGCAUGUGUGAGGCACUGGGUUUGAUUCUCAGCAGCACA
rnacentral:tRNA from 1 species